AUCCAGCUAACAAGUCCUAAAUAGGACGAAACGCAAGUUCUGGAU
rfam:Schistosoma margrebowiei strain Zambia genome assembly, scaffold: SMRZ_contig0001101